UACGUAGGGAGCAAGCGUUGUCCGGAAUCAUUGGGCGUAAAGCGCGCGUAGGCGGCCCUGUAAGUCCGCUGUGAAAGUCAAAGGCUCAACCUUUGAAAGCCGGUGGAUACUGCAGGGCUAGAGUCCGGAAGAGGCGAGUGGAAUUCCUGGUGUAGCGGUGGAAUGCGCAGAUAUCAGGAGGAACACCGAUGGCGAAGGCAGCUCGCUGGGACGGUACUGACGCUGAGGCGCGAAAGCGUGGGGAGCGAACAGG
rnacentral:rRNA from 1 species